rnacentral:lncRNA from 1 species
CUCUCUCUAUCCCUCUCUUUCUUUCUCUCACACUCUCUAUCUCUCUCGCUCCUUCUCCAGAGAGACCAGAGAGGCAUGACAGUCCUGUGCGUUUCAGACCAAAGCAUUCGAUCCCUUCUCAGCAGGAGAGCUGUAUCAUCCAGGUGGAGUUCACCAAGCCUGAGGGAAGUGGGCUGGGCUUUGCCCUGAUGGGCGGGGCCAACGGAAGUGCUCUCAGAGUGAAGGAGAUCUGCAGUGGGGGCGUGGCCCAACUAGAUGGGCGACUCCGGGUGGGAGACAUACUGCUGGAGGUGAAUGAUGUGAUAGUGUCUGGUCUGAGUCACAGUAAGGUGGUUGACAUCUUGAGGCAGGCAGAGGGCGUGGUCCAACUCGUCGUCUGCCGAGACUACCUGUCUAUGGCCCCGCCCACUGAGCAAUUUCAUGCUCCGCCCACAGAUACAGAGGAAACUCCAGUGGUGGGGAAGAAAGAGGAUCCACCAGCGAUCCCCCUCAACAUCCCCCCUGACAACAUCAGAAGAGCCUCCGUACACUCAGAGGUACACACACACACACACACACACACACACACACACACACACACACACACACACACACACACACACACUCACUCACUCACUCACAGGUACACACACACACACACACUCACUCACAGGUACACACACUCACACACACACACACACAGGUACACACACACACACACACACACACAUACAGUACAUACACACUAUGCUGGGUUCACAUUGAUAUGAUUGGCUAGGUUUACCAAUGAAUGGAUAUUACUGUAUUUUCUCAUCUGUGUUUAUCUCUCUCUCUCUCUCUCUUCUUCACCUCCUC